AUUUCAGCAGCAUAUAAAUAUUAAUAUUAGAACAAUACAGAGAAAAUUGGCAUGGCUUUUGCCAAGGAUGACAUGUAAAGUCGUGAAGCAUUCCAUAGUUUC